rnacentral:tRNA from 1 species
GCCAAGUAGCUCAGUUGGGAAAGCGUUAGACUAUGAAUCGAGAGGUCCCUGGUUCGAUCCCGGUUUUCCGCA